rnacentral:lncRNA from 1 species
GAGAGAGAGAGAGAAUACAUGAGUAGAGUGGGAGUGUAUAGGGUGCAGUGUUGGAAAAAUAAGGAAAAUUUAUAAUGAUAGUCCUUGAAUUUUGUGCACCAUUAAGUGAAGGGAAGAGAAAAUUUGAUCUCCAUAUCUCUAUUUCAGUAAUUGCUAUAAUUCUUCAAGAACGCAAAUGCCCAAUUCACCCCUUAAUUUUUCAAUCUGAU